UGACGGUACCUGACUAAGAAGCCCCGGCUAACUACGUGCCAGCAGCCGCGGUAAUACGUAGGGGGCAAGCGUUAUCCGGAUUUACUGGGUGUAAAGGGAGCGUAGACGGAAUGGCAAGUCUGAUGUGAAAGGCAUGGGCUCAACCUGUGGACUGCAUUGGAAACUGUCAUUCUUGAGUGCCGGAGGGGUAAGCGGAAUUCCUAGUGUAGCGGUGAAAUGCGUAGAUAUUAGGAGGAACACCAGUGGCGAAGGCGGCUUACUGGACGGUAACUGACGUUGAGGCUCGAAAGCGUGGGGAGCAAACAGGAUUAGAUACCCUG
rnacentral:rRNA from 1 species